AACGAGCGCUGGCGGCAGGCUUAACACAUGCAUGUCGAGCGCCCCGCAAGGGGAGCGGCAGACGGGUGAGUAACGCGUGGGAAUCUACCCAUCUCUACGGAAUAACGCAUGGAAACGUGUGCUAAUACCGUAUACGUCCUUCGGGAGAAAGAUUUAUCGGAGAUGGAUGAGCCCGCGUUGGAUUAGCUAGUUGGUGGGGUAAAGGCCUACCAAGGCGACGAUCCAUAGCUGGUCUGAGAGGAUGAUCAGCCACGCUGGGACUGAGACACGGCCCAGACUCCUACGGGAGGCAGCAGUGGGGAAUAUUGGACAAUGGGCGCAAGCCUGAUCCAGCCAUGCCGCGUGAGUGAUGAAGGCCCUAGGGUUGUAAAGCUCUUUCACCGGUGAAGAUAAUGACGGUAACCGGAGAAGAAGCCCCGGCUAACUUCGUGCCAGCCGCCGCUGUAAGAC
rnacentral:rRNA from 1 species